rnacentral:tRNA from 1 species
GCCCCUGUAGUUCAACGGAUAGAACAGGAGACUUCUAAUCUCCCGAUAGAGGUUCGAUUCCUCUCAGGGGCACCA